UACGUAGGGGGCAAGCGUUGUCCGGAUUUAUUGGGCGUAAAGAGCGUGUAGGCGGUUUUACAAGUCCGCUGUGAAAACUCGAGGCUCAACCUCGAGCUGUCGGUGGAAACUGUAAGGCUAGAGUCCGGAAGAGGAGAGUGGAAUUCCUGGUGUAGCGGUGAAAUGCGCAGAUAUCAGGAAGAACACCCGUGGCGAAGGCGGCUCUCUGGGACGGUACUGACGCUGAGACGCGAAAGCGUGGGGAGCAAACAGG
rnacentral:rRNA from 1 species